rnacentral:rRNA from 2 species
GCCUCAGUGUCGUCCGAUAGGAYCUUCCCUUCGGGGGACAGAGUGACAGGUGGUGCAUGGUUGUCGUCAGCUGAGGCGKGAGAUGUUGGGUUAAGUCCCGCAACGAGCGCAACCCUUGAUCUUAGUUGCCAGCAUUCAGUUGGGCACUCUAAGGUGACUGCCGGUGACAAACCGGAGGAAGGUGGGGAUGACGUCAAAUCAUCAUGCCCCUUAUGACCUGGGCUACACACGUGCUACAAUGGAUGGUACAAAGGGCUGCAAAACCGCAAGGUCUAGCCAAUCCCAUAAAACCAUUCUCAGUUCGGAUUGUAGGCUGCAACUCGCCUACAUGAAGCCGGAAUCGCUAGUAAUCGCGGAUCAGCAUGCCGCGGUGAAUACGUUCCCGGGUCUUGUACACACCGA